UUAUGAUGAGCAUGAGAUGAUUUGGAGAAGGAAGUACCUCCAAUGAAAUGAAAUGAGAAAUGAGAAAAGGUAAAGAUGAUGCAUAAGGAGUUAGUAGAUGUUGUGCCUACUUUCUUGAAUUGCAUGAAGUUGUGUGGGACUUUCUAUGUGGAGUUGAUGUUUCCUCCUAUAUUUAUGCAUUUGUAUUGAUGUUGUAUGCAUGUUGAUGAGCUGUUUACUUGGGUCGUUACCCCUUAUAUGUUUAAAGUGUCAUUCGAGGACGAAUGUUCCUAAGUGGGGGAUAAUGUAACGACUCGGAAAAUGAUAGAGUGAAACUAGAGCCUCACAUGUGAGUUUAGAGUCGAG
rnacentral:lncRNA from 1 species